UACGGAGGGUGCAAGCGUUAAUCGGAAUUACUGGGCGUAAAGCGUGCGCAGGCGGUUUGUUAAGUCUGCUGUGAAAUCCCCGAGCUCAACUUGGGAAUUGCAGUGGAUACUGGCAAGCUGGAGUACGGUAGAGGAAGGUGGAAUUCCCGGUGUAGCAGUGAAAUGCGUAGAGAUUUGGAGGAACACCAGUGGCGAAGGCGACUUUCUGGUCUGUAACUGACACUGAGGCGCGAAAGCGUGGGGAGCAAACAGG
rnacentral:rRNA from 1 species